GAAGAAUGCUUAGAUUGGAAGAGAAAUUGCUUGAAAUUCAAAGAAAGAAUCCAACUCCUUGCACACACACACCCAGCCGAGAGAGAGAGGAAAAGAGAGAGUGGUUUUUAGAAAUUUUUUUCUAAGUGUUGAUUUUUGAAAAAAGAAAUAAAAGCCACAUAGCAUAUAUCACUCAUUUCAGCCAAAAAAAACAAUAAAAUAAACAUUUAUUUUCAAUUAAUAAAAUCACUAAAGACAAAAUAUCAUUGGGGCAAAAAGACCAUUUUGCCCCUCCACACCAAAAUCACAUAAAUCACACUAAAGGGGUCUUUUUGGGAAAUUCUAAAUUCCCGGCCAUUCCCGACAUUCCCAAUGUCAAAUAACCCGUCCCAAACUACUAACAUACUAAGUUGUGAUUUCUACUGAGCCAAACACCGGGUUCCAAAAUACCGGGCACCGGAAAGCAAAAUUAUGCAAACUACUACAUGACAUAAAAUGCAUCUCUGAAUUCAAUAAAUAACAGUAUAAUAAAUUAUUUAAAUAGCUAUAAAUAAUUUUCAUAAUUAAUCAUAAUUAACUGCUAAUUUUCAAAUUAACUAAGCGGUCUUUACACUUAUAUAGGAAUUAGGGUUGCUACCUCUGAAUGGCAAAAUUUCGAAAUUGGUCAAAAAUCUCGUGUUUCACCCCUGGUCGCGACUACAUAAAGCCCUUGUUGCGACCAUAGGCCAAUUGGAAAAACACCCCUUUUUGCCUAAUCCCCUAGUCGCGACCAUGGUCGCGACCAUGGAAAAGGGUCGCGACUAUGGCUUCACCUGGUCGCGACUACUGAAGGCCAAAUUGGCAGCUUCAGCAGAUUUUUCUCCAGAAUGUCUCGUCUUUUCACCAACUGAUAAAAUUUGAACUGUAAUGCAUCGAGAACCUAAAACAAGGAAAAUCGAGCGUAAAAGCAUUCCAAAAGGCAACAUUAACUGAGAAAACGCUUAUGAAAUCGACUUGGAACUUAGGCUAAAAAUAGCCUAACACUUAGAUCAUUAAUAUUUGUCUAGUGUUUGUGACCAUACUCUUGUUGAGUGGUGAGAUGGAAUGUUGGGAAAGUGUGACUUCACCAUUAAUGAUUGGGAUCCCUUCUUCUACAGAAGGAUGUGCUCACUCAAUGUUGGAUAGUGAUGAAGAUAUCCCUAAUGCUCAACCAUUACCUCAAGUCACUUUGGUUGACAGUGAUGAUGAGGGGGAAGUUUUUGAUGAGAGUGUAUGUAAGAUUGAUGAAGAGCCUCGAGCUCUUCAGUAUGCGAUAAUGGUACAUGAUUAUGAGGGUGAUAAGAAUGAGUAUGUCGGGCGGUCCCUUCACUUUUUGAGGGACAACCCGAGGUCGAGUAUGACUAAGGGAGAUAUCCUACGCAUGUGACAUCAAUAUGAGAUUCAUUCUUCUAUACAAAUGUGACUUCCAACUAUCGUUGAGCGUCCCAAUUGGGAUAGUGGCGAUUGGGUUUGUAUGUAUGAAUUUCCUUUUAAGAUUGGCUUUUGAUUCCCUUUCCCUCUAUUUGUACAAGAAGUGUUGGACUAUUAUGGGGUAGCUCCUAGCCAACUCAUGCCAAAUGCUUGGAGGUUAUUGUUGGGUAUAGAAGUCAUAGUUAGAGUGAAGGGGAAGAGGGUUGACUUUGUAGAUUUCAAGUCAAGUUAUUAUCUUAAACAACACGAUACAGAUAAAGGUCGAUAUCGAUUCAUUCUUAGAGCAAACAAAAAAGCUUGGGUAACAGAGUUGGUUGCUAGCAACAAGAGGGGUUGGAGGAAGAAAUAUUGUUUUGUCAAAGGUGACCUGUUUGGAAUGAGUGAUUAUGUGGUUCCUACUUCAUGGAGAACCUUAAGUAAGGGGCUUGCUCGAUGUCCUCGCAGGGGGUGUUGGUCUGAAGCUCAAGUUAACGACUUGCUCUCUAUUCCUUCCGAUCAUAGUGCCCAUAAAAAGCUUCUUAUUUUGAAUAAAUCUUGUGUUGGAAAGUUAUGGAGAGCUGCGCAACGUCAAGAAGGUAGUAUUUUUUCACUCAACGUUGUCAAGCGCGCCCCAUCCUUUUGUUGACCCGAGCUUUAGAGAAGAUGAUGCUGUUGCUAGGGGUAAGACUAAUUUACUUGGAAAGAGGUCUAAGAAGACCACAAGUCAUGUUGCAAAAUCUCGAGUUCCUGCUAAGGAACAUGAAGCUGGUGGCUCUCUGUUGCUAACUGAUGGUGUGGUUGCGGCUUCUCCACUGAGGGGUGACAACGUGUUGUCUAUUGAGGAGAGUAUGAUCAACCUGUCCAUCUCUUCUAAUAUUUCAGCUUACUCUGACCCUGCUUCUAUCAAAGGUCAUGUUAAGGCUCUUCUCCAUUCGAGAGAUGAAGAGCGUUUGAGGGGCAUCAGAGUUGCGGGGCGAGUGAAUUAUGGUGUUUCUACGAUUUACCAAGCUAUUCAAGCAGUCCUCUACAACAAUUUCUCUUAAUCAUAAGAACAGGCUUUGAACAAGGAGGAGUCUAGACUUAGCAAGGAAGUGGAGAACUUGAAACUGGAAGGAGAGACUACCAAAUCAUCAUAUGACAAGCUCAAACUGGAUUAUUCCUCGUUGAACACUGAGUUGGAGCGUGUGCAUGCCAGACUCAAGGAGUAGGAGGCUAAUUAUGUCGCAUUGUACCAGGAGGUUGAUGAUAUUUCGCUCAAGACUGCCAUCAAGACAAGGGGGAGUUGAUGAUACAGUAUAAGAAAGGGCUCCAUCGUGGAUGGGAUGUCGAUGGUGCUAUUGCACUUCAUGAAGAAUAUUUAGCUCUUGAGCAAGAGAAUGAGAUGGAUGUUGACGCUCAUAUCUCUAUGUCUGGUGUGAGCGUCGAUGCUCAUACCUCUGUCCCUGGUAUGGGUGUCGAUGCUCAUACUUCUAAUUCUGGCGGGUGUGGCAUUGACGAUGUGAUGUUCUCCAUUGCUAAAUAUGGUACCAUUGCUCCAUAGUGGGUCUUUUUAAGUUUAUCCCUUUUGUUUACAAGUGACAAUUGAUUUAAACUCUUAAGUCUUUUUUGUUUAAAGCAUGAACAUCGCCAUAGUGGUAUUGAGUAUGUAUGCUUAACGAUCCUUUUGAUGUGCGGACAUCCUCUUAGCGAUUUCCCUUUUGAAUUUUAUGACGCUUUGAUGUAUGAACGUUGCCUUUGCGGUGGUAUGACUUAUUAUCUUAAUUUGGUAUUAAUAUUCUUCAUUUUGCAUUUUGUUGAUGUUUUAUGUUAUUCCGUUGAUGUAAAUUUAGCAUUGAUCCAUGUACUAUAUCCCCUAGUCCAAGUCUUAGUGAGUGUCACUAAAACUUAGAUUUUGGAACGGCUUGACUGAGUAC